rnacentral:rRNA from 1 species
CACUUCUAAGGAAGGCAGCAGGCGCGCAAAUUACCCAAUCCUGACUCAGGGAGGUAGUGACAAGAAAUAACAAUAAACCGGCUUAUGCCGGUUUAAUUGGAAUGAGUACAAUUUAAACAUCUUAACGAGGAACAAUUGGAGGGCAAGUCUGGUGCCAGCAGCCGCGGUAAUUCCAGCUCCAAUAGCGUAUACUAAAGUUGUUGCAGUUAAAAAGCUCGUAGUUGGAUUUCUGUGGGGACGGAGCGGCCGGCCGCACAUCGCGGUUCGAGCUAGCGCUUUCCCUACAUCCUGUCGCGAACCGUGCUACCAUUAGUUUGGUGGCGCCGGGGAUCGGCUCGAUUACUUUGAGAAAAAUAGAGUGUUCAAAGCAGGCCACAUGCCUUGAAUAAGUUAGCAUGGAAUAAUAACUAAGGACUUCGGUUCUAUUUUGUUGGUGUUCGGGACUGAAGUAAUGAUUGAUAGGGACAGUUGGGGCGGUCUGUAUUCCAAAGCGAGAGGUGAAAUUCUUAGACCUUCGGAAGACAAACAGCUGCGAAAGCGUUCCGCAAGGAUGUUCCCUUUGAUCAAGAACGAAAGUUGGGGGAUCGAAGACGAUCAGAUACCGUCGUAGUCUCAACUAUAAACUAUACCAGCUAGGGAUCGGCCAACGUUAUUUUAUACCGACUUGGUCGGCACCUUAUGAGAAAUCAAAGCAUCUGGGUUCCGGGGGGAGUAUGGUCGCAAGGCUGAAACUUAAAGGAAUUGACGGAAGGGCACCACCAGCCGUGGAGCCUGUGGCUUAAUUUGACUCAACACGGGAAAACUUACCAGGUCCAGACAUAGUAAGGAUUGACAGAUUGAUAGCUCUUUCUUGAUUCUGUGGGUGGUGGUGCAUGGCCGUUCUUAGUUGGUGGAGUGAUUUGUCUGGUUAAUUCCGUUAACGAACGAGACCCCAGCCUGCUAAAUAGCGCGAGUGAGCUUUGCUCGCUGCGAGCUUCUUAGAGGGACUAUGAUGCGCGAUAGCACAUGGAAGUUUGGGGCAAUAACAGGUCUGUGAUGCCCUUAGAUGUUCUGGGCCGCACACGGGCUACACUGGCGCCUGCAACGAGCAUAUCAGCUGGCCCGAGAGGGUCUUGGCUAAUCUUUUGAACCGGCGCCGUGCUUGGGAUUGACCUUUGCAAUUGUUGGUCAUGCAACGAGGAAUGCCUUGUAAACGCGAGUCAUCAGCUCGCAUUGAAUACGUCCCUGCCCUUUGUACACACCGCCCGUCGCUCCUACCGAUGAAUGUUCCGAUGAAAUUUUCGGAGAGCACCUGUGAACUUGGCUCUGCCUUGCGAACGGGAGGCUCAAAGUCACUUAAAUCUGAACAUUUCGAGG